GAAGCUAAAUUAGGGCUUUUUGUGAUUUCUUCUUUCCAAGCUUAAAUCAAGGUAAUAUCCAUCAUAAUCUAGCCUCUAUUCCUUCGAUCUAUACAUCUUUCUUAUCAAAUUUGAGUUUUUGAUUUCCAUUUUGAAUUUUUGGUGCAUGAAUCCGGUUUCUCCUUAAACCAUGAAGCUAGGCUAUGGGUUUGGCAAGGAUUUUUGGUGAAGAAGGCCAAGGAGAAGGAAUAGGAUGUGAUUUUUGA
rnacentral:lncRNA from 1 species